rnacentral:tRNA from 1 species
UGCCCUUGUAGCUCAGAGGAUAGAGCAGCGGUCUUCUAAACCGUGGGUCGGGGGUUCGAGUCCCUCCAGGGGCGA